CCUGAAAUGCAAAUCUGAUCAUUUAAUUUCAUCUACAUGAACUUUUUCCUGUCUCACAGUAUUAAGAUAAUCCAACUUUAAAAUAGCAUUUAGAAGCCCCUGCAUGGCCUGGCCCUUGCAUACCUCAUCUCUUGCCACUGCUCCCCCUUCUACUCAUAUUCUGGAAAUGCUGAGCUUCUUUAUGAUCAAUCUGACAUCAGCUGAGGCUUGAUUUCCUCCCAAAAAUAUUUCUCAAAUUUUCCUAUG
rnacentral:lncRNA from 1 species